GUCCCUGUAGAGCAAUGGAUAACGCGUUGGACUUCUAAUCCAGGGAUCGUGGUUUUGAAUUCCAUCUGGGACG